AUCCUUUUGCAGUUCAUAAGCGGGAUAACUGGGUGUCCACACUCGUGUGAGAUGUGCCCCAUCAUACCUUGUUACAACAUCGGCACAUUGCCUUUCUCACA